rnacentral:rRNA from 1 species
GGCUCAGAUUGAACGCUGGCGGCAGGCCUAACACAUGCAAGUCGAGCGGCAGCGGGAAGUAGUUUACUACUUUGCCGGCGAGCGGCGGACGGGUGAGUAAUGUCUGGGAAACUGCCUGAUGGAGGGGGAUAACUACUGGAAACGGUAGCUAAUACCGCAUGACCUCGCAAGAGCAAAGUGGGGGACCUUCGGGCCUCACGCCAUCGGAUGUGCCCAGAUGGGAUUAGCUAGUAGGUGGGGUAAUGGCUCACCUAGGCGACGAUCCCUAGCUGGUCUGAGAGGAUGACCAGCCACACUGGAACUGAGACACGGUCCAGACUCCUACGGGAGGCAGCAGUGGGGAAUAUUGCACAAUGGGCGCAAGCCUGAUGCAGCCAUGCCGCGUGUGUGAAGAAGGCCUUCGGGUUGUAAAGCACUUUCAGCGAGGAGGAAGGCCAAUAGCUUAAUACGCUGUUGGAUUGACGUUACUCGCAGAAGAAGCACCGGCUAACUCCGUGCCAG